rnacentral:rRNA from 1 species
GGGCUUGACAUCCCACGAAUCCUGCCGAAAGGCAGGAGUGCCCGCAAGGGAGCGCGGAGACAGGUGGUGCAUGGCUGUCGUCAGCUCGUGUCGUGAGAUGUUGGGUUAAGUCCCGCAACGAGCGCAACCCUCACCUCUUGUUGCCACCAGGUCAUGCUGGGCACUCUAGAGGAACUGCCCCGGUCAACGGGGAGGAAGGCGGGGAUGACGUCAAGUCAUCAUGCCCCUUACGUCCUGGGCUACACACGUGCUACAAUGGCCGGUACAAAGGGAUGCCACACCGCGAGGUAGAGCUAAACCCAAAAAGCCGGUCUAAGUUCAGAUUGGAGUCUGCAACUCGACUCCAUGAAGGAGGAAUCGCUAGUAAUCGCGUAUCAGCACGACGCGGUGAAUACGUUCCCGGGCCUUGUACACACCGCCCGUCACACCACGAAAGCCCGUUGUACUCGAAGUCGCUGAG